rnacentral:rRNA from 1 species
AGUGAACGCUGGCGGUAGGCCUAACACACGCAAGUCGAACGGCAGCACAGGAGAGCUUGCUCUCUGGGUGGCGAGUGGCGGACGGGUGAGGAAUACAUCGGAAUCUACUUUUUCGUGGGGGAUAACGUAGGGAAACUUACGCUAAUACCGCAUACGACCUACGGGUGAAAGCAGGGGACCUUCGGGCCUUGCGCGAUGGAAUGAGCCGAUGUCGGAUUAGCUAGUUGGCGGGGUAAAGGCCCACCAAGGCGACGAUCCGUAGCUGGUCUGAGAGGAUGAUCAGCCACACUGGAACUGAGACACGGUCCAGACUCCUACGGGAGGCAGCAGUGGGGAAUAUUGGACAAUGGGCGCAAGCCUGAUCCAGCCAUACCGCGUGGGUGAAGAAGGCCUUCGGGUUGUAAAGCCCUUUUGUUGGGAAAGAAAUCCAGCUGGCUAAUACCCGGUUGGGAUGACGGUACCCAAAGAAUAAGCACCGGCUAACUUCGUGCCAGCAGCCGCGGUAA